rnacentral:rRNA from 2 species
AGCAGCCGCGGUAAUUCCAGCUCCAAUAGCGUAUAUUAAAGUUGUUGCAGUUAAAAAGCUCGUAGUUGAAUUUCGGGGUUAGUAGGUUGGUCAUGCCUCUGGUAUGUACUGGUCUCACUGAUUCCUCCUUCCUGAUGAGCCGUAAUGCCAUUAAUUUGGUGUUGCGGGGAAUUUGGACUGUUACUUUGAAAAAAUUAGAGUGUUUAAAGCAAGCUAACGCUUGAAUACAUUAGCAUGGAAUAAUGAAAUAGGACGUUCGAUCCUAUUUUGUUGGUUUCUAGGAUUGACGUAAUGAUUAAUAGGGAUAGUUGGGGGCAUUAGUAUUCAAUUGUCAGAGGUGAAAUUCUUGGAUUUAUUGAAGACUAACUACUGCGAAAGCAUUUGCCAAGGAUGUUUUCAUUAAUCAAGAACGAAAGUUAGGGGAUCGAAGACGAUCAGAUACCGUCGUAGUCUUAACCAUAAACUAUGCCGACUAGGGAUCGGAUGAUGUUAAUUUUUUAAUGACUC